rnacentral:rRNA from 1 species
CAGCAGCCGCGGGAAUACGGAGGGAGCUAGCGUUGUUCGGAAUUACUGGGCGUAAAGCGUGCGUAGGCGGCUUUUUAAGUCGGAUGUGAAAUCCCUGAGCUUAACUUAGGAAUUGCAUUCGAUACUGGGAAGCUAGAGUAUGGGAGAGGAUGGUAGAAUUCCAGGUGUAGCGGUGAAAUGCGUAGAGAUCUGGAGGAAUACCGAUGGCGAAGGCAGCCAUCUGGCCUAAUACUGACGCUGAGGUACGAAAGCAUGGGGAGCAAACAGGAUUAGAUACCCCCGUAGUCCCUGUCUCUUAUAC